rnacentral:lncRNA from 1 species
UGGUUAAUUGCGCUGUGUUCGGAUGCAACAACGAGUCGCGGCGGAAAACUGACUCUGGUGAGAACACGAAGAAGCUUAGUUUUUUUUCUGUGCCGAAUGUUGUUCGUUGGCAAUGCAGCCAGACCUUAGAGAUCUCAACGAAGCGUCGAGCGGAAUGGUUUCGUCGCCUCUACCGGGGUGACAUUAAUACAGACGCUACCCACUACAAAGUCUGCAGCGAGCACUUCGUUUCUGGCAGGCCAUCCUACUUAAUGGAUCUGACGAACCCGGACUGGGCGCCAAGCUUGCACCUAGGGUAUGACACAAAGUCAACAACUCGAUCUGAAGAAAGGCACCAGCGACGUUGCAAGAGGGCUGCGACUCCAAAGGUGGUCCA